AUUGAACGCUGGCGGCAGGCCUAACACAUGCAAGUCGAGCGGAUGAAUCGGGCUUGCUCCUGGAUUCAGCGGCGGACGGGUGAGUAAUGCCUAGGAAUCUGCCUUGUAGUGGGGGAUAACGUCCUAAUACGGGCGCUACUACCGCAUGCGUCCUUUGGUCGAAAUUGGGGGGUCUUCGGACCUCACGCUAUCAUGUUAGCCUGGGUAGGAUUACCUAGUUGGUGUGGUAAAGGACUACCAAGGCGACGAUCCGUAACUUGUCUGAGAGGCUGAUCAGUCACACUGGAAGUGAGAAAGGGUACAGACUCUUACGGGAGGAAGCAGUGGGGAAUAUUGGGCGAUGGGCGAAAGGCUGAUCCAGCCAUGCCGGGUGUGUGAAGAAGGUCUUCGGAUUGUAAAGCAAUUUAAGUUGGGGGAAAGGGAAGUAAGUUAACACCUUGCUGUUUUGACGUUACCAAGAGAAGAAGCCCCGGCUAACUUCGUG
rnacentral:rRNA from 1 species